rnacentral:rRNA from 1 species
UACAGAGGUCUCAAGCGUUGUUCGGAUUUAUUGGGCGUAAAGGGUGCGUAGGCGGCGGGGCAAGUCAGGUGUGAAAUCUCGGGGCUCAACCCCGAAACUGCACUUGAUACUGCCUUGCUCGAGUACUGGAGAGGAGACUGGAAUUUACGGUGUAGCAGUGAAAUGCGUAGAUAUCGUAAGGAAGACCAGUGGCGAAGGCGAGUCUCUGGACAGUUACUGACGCUGAGGCACGAAGGCCAGGGGAGCAAACGGG